rnacentral:rRNA from 1 species
AUUGAACGCUGGCGGCAGGCCUAACACAUGCAAGUCGAGCGAGCGGCGGACGGGUGAGUAAUGUAUGGGGAUCUGCCCGAUAGAGGGGGAUAACUACUGGAAACGGUGGCUAAUACCGCAUACUAUCGGAUGAACCCAUAUGGGAUUAGCUAGUUGGUGGGGUAAAGGCUCACCUAGGCGACGAUCUCUAGCUGGUCUGAGAGGAUGAUCAGCCAAACUGUAACGGAGACACGGACCAGACUCCUACGGUAGGCAGCAGUGGGGAAUAUUGCACAAUGGGCGCAAGCCGGAGGCAGCCAUGCCGCGUGUAUGAAGAAGGCCUUAGGGUUGUAAAGUACUUUCAGCGGGGAGGCGUUACCCGAAGAAGAAGCACCGGCUAACUCCGUGCCAGCAGCCGCGGUAAUUC